AACGAACGCUGGCGGCAUGCCUAACACAUGCAAGUCGAACGAGAUCUUCGGGUCUAGUGGCGCACGGGUGCGUAACGCGUGGGAAUCUGCCCUUUGGUUCGGAAUAACAGUUGGAAACGACUGCUAAUACCGGAUGAUGACGAAAGUCCAAAGAUUUAUCGCCAGAGGAUGAGCCCGCGAAGGAUUAGCUAGUUGGUGUGGUAAAGGCGCACCAAGGCGACGAUCCUUAGCUGGUCUGAGAGGAUGAUCAGCCACACUGGGACUGAGACACGGCCCAGACUCCGACGGGAGGCAGCAGUGGGGAAUAUUGGACAAUGGGCGAAAGCCUGAUCCAGCAAUGCCGCGUGAGUGAUGAAGGCCUUAGGGUUGUAAAGCUCUUUUACCCGGGAUGAUAAUGACAGUACCGGGAGAAUAAGCUCCGGCUAACUCCGUGCCAGCCGCCGCCGUAAAAC
rnacentral:rRNA from 1 species